AUUUCAAAUAAAAUGUUGCAUGCGAGAAAAAGAAAAGAAGUAACCGUAGUCAUGGCAAUGACAAGUAAAAGCAAAUAUGACAUUAAUCCCACAGAAAAAUUUCCAAAAAUGCAUCUCAAUUGACCAAUAUAUCCCAUUACGAGGCUACAGCCUCCUUAAGGCCCCUGUCCGCUUCGCUGGCCGUUUGAAGAAGGAGCAACGAUAACUCCAACAAGACAAAGACGCGCUAUAACCAGAGGAUGUGAAGGUGGCAUCUCAAAAAUGUGCUUCAGGAAGAAUGUGUUUAACUCUGAUAUCUGCCAGAACACCACUAAUUGACUCAAUGCAAAGAACCUCAUAUAUGGCCCACAGCAGUCCCGCGUGUCUGAAUAGCAAGGCCUUAAACAACCACCCUAGGAAGUGGCCCCAAGCAAACACAUCAACAUGAGACCAAAUUUUCGCUAUAGAUAUGUCUGAACAAUUAACUGCGUAUUCCUGAAAAAUAAAUAC